rnacentral:rRNA from 1 species
AUUGAACGCUAGCGGCAGGCCUAAUACAUGCAAGCCGAACGGCAAGGUUUUCAGCAAUGGGAACCCUAGAGUGGCGUAAGGGUGCGUAACACGUAUGCAAUCUACCCUUAACAGGCGGAUAGGUCCCCGAAAGGGGAUUAAGCCGCCAUAGGAAUUUUGGAUGGCAUCAGUUUGAAAUUUAAACUACGGUGGUUAAGGAUGAGCAUGCGCAUGAUUAGCUAG